rfam:Camelus ferus unplaced genomic scaffold scaffold597, whole genome shotgun sequence.
UAGCUCAGUGGUAGAGUGCAUGCUUAGCAUGCAUGAGGUCCUGGGUUCAAUCCCCAG